rfam:Picea glauca, whole genome shotgun sequence.
CACCUCCCAUCACACUAUGAGAGCUAUCCAUGCACCAAGUAAUUACCUUAACUAUAAGGAGGGGGAUGUUGAAGGUUAGGAUAUUGACUGGAGUGAAUUUGUAACAAGGUAGUUGUACUCAAAGGUGUGGUUU